rnacentral:rRNA from 1 species
AUUGAACGCUGGCGGCAGGCCUAACACAUGCAAGUCGAGCGGCAGCACGGGUACUUGUACCUGGUGGCGAGCGGCGGACGGGUGAGUAAUGCCUAGGAAUCUGCCUGGUAGUGGGGGAUAACGUCCGGAAACGGGCGCUAAUACCGCAUACGUCCUACGGGAGAAAGUGGGGGAUCUUCGGACCUCACGCUAUUAGAUGAGCCUAGGUCGGAUUAGCUAGUUGGUGAGGUAAUGGCUCACCAAGGCGACGAUCCGUAACUGGUCUGAGAGGAUGAUCAGUCACACUGGAACUGAGACACGGUCCAGACUCCUACGGGAGGCAGCAGUGGGGAAUAUUGGAGAAUGGGCGAAAGCCUGAUCCAGCCAUGCCGCGUGUGUGAAGAAGGUCUUCGGAUUGUAAAGCACUUUAAGUUGGGAGGAAGGGCAGUUACCUAAUACGUGGUUGUUUUGACGUUACCGACAGAAUAAGCACCGGCUAACUCUGUGCCAGCCGCCGCCGUAA